rnacentral:rRNA from 1 species
AUGAGUCCACUAUACCUUCCUAUAUGCGGUAUUUACCUGCCGUUUCAAGUAAAUUUGUAUGUGCCAAACUCCAAACCUUCAAAUGAAAUUCUGUUUUGUAUGCUCGAGCAGCUCAUGUUACAACUAGGGAUGCCUAUAUAUUCCAUGCUAGGUGGGUUAUUCUCACGAGGAGUGGACUCCGCUCCUCAUUCACGAGAAAGGGCCGGUAACCGGGAUGCCCAGUCCCAUGAUCCAAAAAGAUCAAAGCAAAUCAGAAUAAUUAAACAAAACUCCCCCAGGGCUGUUGUUAGUUGGAGGCACUCGCCGUUUCGAGCAAGCCAUGGAUUGAUGCUUGUUGGUGGUUGUGGGAGUAUAAACUGUUACCAUUUUGUUUGGGAACUGCCUAUAAUGCAUGUAGUAUGGAAGAUACAACCAUCUCAUAGUUGUUGCGUUGACAGUGAAAGUAUGCCGCUCAAAAUGUUAUUCAAUCUCUAUUUUAAAAUCGAGCUCUGGCACCUCUACAAAUCCAUGCUUCCCUCUGCGAAGGGCCUAUCUAUUUACUUUUAUGUUGAGUCAUCACCCUUCUUAUUAAAAAGCACCCGCUGGAGAGCACACUGUCAUUUGCAUUGA